rnacentral:rRNA from 1 species
AUUGAACGCUGGCGGCAGGCUUAACACAUGCAAGUCGAGCGGAGAGAGGUAGCUUGCUACUGAUCUUAGCGGCGGACGGGUGAGUAAUGCUUAGGAAUCUGCCUAUUAGUGGGGGACAACAUUUCGAAAGGAAUGCUAAUACCGCAUACGUCCUACGGGAGAAAGCAGGGGAUCUUCGGACCUUGCGCUAAUAGCUGAGCCUAAGUGGGAUUAGCUAGUUGGUGGGGUAAAGGCCUACCACGGCGACGAUCUGUAGCGGGUCUGAGAGGAUGAGCCGCUACACUGGGACUGAGACACGUCCCAGACUCCUACGGGAGGCAGCAGUGGGGAAUAUUGGACAAUGGGCGGAAGCCUGAUCCAGCCAUGCCGCGUGUGUGAAGAAGGCCUUAUGGUUGUAGAGCACUUUAAGCGAGGAGGAGGCUACUUUAGUUAAUACCUAGAGAUAGUGGACGUUACUCGCAGAAUAAGCACCGGCUAACUCUGUGCCAGCAGCCGCCGCGGUAA